GACAGAGGGUGCAAACGUUGUUCGGAAUUACUGGGCGUAAAGCGCGUGUAGGCGGCCAUGCAAGUCGGAUGUGAAAGCCCUCGGCUCAACCGGGGAAGUGCACUCGAAACUGCAAGGCUAGAGUCUCGGAGAGGAUCGUGGAAUUCUCGGUGUAGAGGUGAAAUGCGUAGAGAUCGGGCGGAACACCAGCGGCGAAGGCGGCGACCUGGCCCUGACCUGACGCUGAGGCGCGAGAGCGUGGGGAGCGAACGGG
rnacentral:rRNA from 1 species